UUAUUUAUAUUUUCUUUGGAAAUUAGUACAAUAGUAGUAUGCGCUUCCUCUUACCUUCACCCUUAUUCCUUUUACGCAUUUUUUCACAUAAACUCGCAAUCAACUUCUCACUUUCCUCUGAAACUGCUCUAAAACUCGCUAAUUCAUCAAGAAUAUCGUAAGAGUAAUCUGGAAUCAAAGAAUAUCCCCUUUUGAGGAUCUGGGUGGCGAUAGUUUCAAAAGCAAGAGAGAAAUUGAUUUUUGUAAUUUCUAAAUCGAUGUCAUGUUGUAUAAUUUGCAGGGCUGGAAGAUUCGGUAUGGCUUUUUUAGUUCUGGGAAAAAUCUUUGAUUGUGAUAUAUUGAGUGGUUGAAUUAAUUUUUAUACUUUCUGUGAGAAAUUUGACAAUUAAGGAAAAAAAAAAUGACGAACAUAAACAAGCUUCUGAUUUUAGUAAUCUCGGGCUUAAUAAAAUGCUAUAGUUAUUUACAAUGCAAGUUACUAGCAUAGUAGCAUGUAUACAUUGGAAAAUGCUCAUGUUUUGUUAAUAUUUUGAGAUAAUUAUGAACUUAAGCUAGACUAAUAAUCAUGUUCCUAUUCCUGUUUAGAGAUGAAACAUCGAUGACUGCUUUUGGAAAGGUCACCUUUUUUACACUGCAACAUGAUUCUGGAACUAUCCAGUUGCAAACAAACAGAAUCAAAGUAUUUCUUAUAAAAGAAUUUGGUAUCUAUUUUCCCUCUGAAGUUAAUAGUAAGUGACAUGAUGGUUUCCUAAGAUAUUUGUGCUCUAUAUCUUGAGAUAUUAAGGUAGUGGAUUUUUGAUACGGGAGUCAAUAAUAGUUCAAGCUUAUUCUAUAAGCACCUUCAAAAGGGUGAACGAGCUUACGAGAGGAUAAUUUCUACAAGACAUUCUAUAUAUUUUGUAUAGUUUAUUGUACAUUUCUUAUCAAUCUAUUCUUUUAGGAUGACAUCUCCUUUGUAGUUGAAAAUAAUUUGAAGCAAACAUUGAUAAAAUCGUCAAAAUUUGAAGGUUGACCAUCGUAUCAUUUAACUAACUAGCUUUUUUUAGUCAUAUAGUAUUAUUUAUUGUGAAUUUGUGAGAGACAAGUUUGUAAUUUUCAAGUACAUCAAUUCAGUAUUAUUUUAGAGUUGA